rnacentral:rRNA from 1 species
UGCAUGAAGCCGGAAUUGCUAGUAAUGGCAGGUCAGCAUACUGCCGUGAAUACGUUCCCGGGCCUUGUACACACCGCCCGUCACACCAUGAGAGUUGGGGAUACCCGAAGCCUGUGAGCCAACUAUUUAUAGAGGCAGCAGUCGAAGGUAGAAUCAAUGAUUGGGGUGAAGUCGUAACAAGGUAGC